CUUAUCGAGAGUGGCGGAGGGACUGGCCCGAUGAAGCCCGACAACCUGCGUAAGCAAGGUGCCAAUUCCAGCGAUUUGAUCGACAGAUGAGG
rnacentral:ncRNA from 1 species